rnacentral:rRNA from 1 species
GACGAACGCUGGCGGCGUGCUUAACACAUGCAAGUCGAACGAUGAAGCCUAGCUUGCUAGGUGGAUUAGUGGCGAACGGGUGAGUAAUACGUGAGUAACCUACCUUUAACUCUGGGAUAAGCCUGGGAAACUGGGUCUAAUACCGGAUACGACCAAUCUCCGCAUGGGGUGUUGGUGGAAAGCGUUAUGUAGUGGUUAUAGAUGGGCUCACGGCCUAUCAGCUUGUUGGUGAGGUAACGGCUCACCAAGGCGACGACGGGUAGCCGGCCUGAGAGGGUGACCGGCCACACUGGGACUGAGACACGGCCCAGACUCCUACGGGAGGCAGCAGUGGGGAAUAUUGCACAAUGGGCGCAAGCCUGAUGCAGCGACGCCGCGUGAGGGAUGACGGCCUUCGGGUUGUAAACCUCUGUUAGCAGGGAAGAAGAGAGAUUGACGGUACCUGCAGAGAAAGCGCCGGCUAACUACGUGCCAGCAGCCGCGGUAAUACGUANGGCGCGAGCGUCGUCCGGAAUUAUUGGGCGUAAAGAGCUUGUAAGCGGUUUGUCGCGUCUGCUGUGAAGGCCGGGGCUUAACCCCGUGUAUUGCAGUGGGUACGGGCAGACUAGAGUGCAGUAGGGGAGACUGGAAUUCCUGGUGUAGCGGUGGAAUGCGCAGAUAUCAGGAGGAACACCGAUGGCGAAGGCAGGUCUCUGGGCUGUAACUGACGCUGAGAAGCGAAAGCAUGGGGAGCGAACAGGAUUAGAUACCCUGGUAGUCCAUGCCGUAAACGUUGGGCACUAGGUGUGGGGGACAUUCCACGUUUUCCGCGCCGUAGCUAACGCAUUAAGUGCCCCGCCUGGGGAGUACGGCCGCAAGGCUAAAACUCAAAGAAAUUGACGGGGGCCCGCACAAGCGGCGGAGCAUGCGGAUUAAUUCGAUGCAACGCGAAGAACCUUACCAAGGCUUGACAUAUACUGGACCGCAUCAGAGAUGGUGUUUCCCUUCGGGGCUGGUAUACAGGUGGUGCAUGGUUGUCGUCAGCUCGUGUCGUGAGAUGUUGGGUUAAGUCCCGCAACGAGCGCAACCCUCGUUCUAUGUUGCCAGCACGUUAUGGUGGGGACUCAUAGGAGACUGCCGGGGUCAACUCGGAGGAAGGUGGGGAUGACGUCAAAUCAUCAUGCCCCUUAUGUCUUGGGCUUCACGCAUGCUACAAUGGCCGGUACAGAGGGUUGCGAUACUGUGAGGUGGAGCUAAUCCCUAAAAGCCGGUCUCAGUUCGGAUUGGGGUCUGCAACUCGACCCCAUGAAGUCGGAGUCGCUAGUAAUCGCAGAUCAGCAACGCUGCGGUGAAUACGUUCCCGGGCCU